UUUCCUUCCUGUAACCCAAGGGCCUAGCGUGGUGCCUGGUACAUAGUACAAAAGAGGUAUUCAUUGGCAACAGUGACGGAGCACGGGCCUGAGGGUCUGGAACACAGGAGGCGGCUGUUCUGAGUCUCCCCCUGAGCCGCCUCUCCCCCGUCGGCCCAGGCUAAGACAGGCUGACACAGGCCACAGCUGCAGGAAGCGGUGUUUGGUCCGGACAAGGCCCAUCCUGCUUGAUCUCCAGCAACUCUCUGGGCCCUUCCUGUGUUGCAGACGAGGCCCGGCGGUGAGCCCAGACAUGCAGGUUCCUGCAGACGCCAAGGAGGAGGCCACCUGGUGAGAAAUCGGCCAUGAGAUGCAAACCUUCAAACUGAAAUGCUUGGGUGAGCGCCUUACUCUGGGCCUGGCCGUGUAGCGUCGCUCGGUCAGCAUGGCAUUUGGGUUUCAGUCCCUUGAAAGAGUAGUGACCUGAGGCUCGCCAGCGUGUGAGGUGUGUUCAGUCAGGAGGUUAGUCAGGAUUUGCUUAGGCAUUAACAGUGGCCCCCACCAUUACCUCUGUUUAGAGGUGGCCCCCACCAUUAACUCUGAUUAACACUGGCCACCACCAGUUACCUCUGACUGCUUAGUCACAAGCCAGAGCCUCCCGCAGAGCAGGGUCACCCUGGGGUGGAGGUUAGACCAGACCACACUGGCCAAGACGACCCAGUCUCAGGGUGACAGCAGGGGCCACUGGGGCCGGAUCGACGGGUCUGCUGCCGUCAGCAUGGGUUUGGUUGCCUUGUGGAUUUUUUGCUGUGGCUUUUUUGUGGCUGGCCACGUGACAGGGCUGAGUGGUUAUAUGCUCUGAGGUUCUCAUGCCCGCCCCAGCUCCCUGGUAUUCAUCCCUGAAGUUCUGACUGCGGUGAUACACAGAGCCGGCGGAGCAUCCCUCCCCAGCCUGUGCUGUGCCUCCUUCCUGCCCCCUCUCCGCCCGCCCUCUUAGAAAGGAAGCCUGCAGCUGCUCAUCAGCAACUUCUGCUCUGGGGGCCUCCGGUGCCCGGGUCUGUGGGGAGUUCCGGCGGCUGCUGCGUCUUCCUGACGUGUCGCAGCUUCCUACACUGCCCUGGCGCUCUCCUCUCCUCCGCAGCCUAAUGCUCCAGGCUCCAGUGUUUGAAAAUCAAAACUGUACCCCUUCCCUGAGUGUCACCACUCCAGGCGAUACCGGCCUGGUUCUUUUCUGGUGUUUCAGGACAGGAUGGGGAGAGUCUCUCGUCGUCUCUACAUUUGUAUGUUCACUUAGCAACACUCACACUAGGGGGUUCAAGGUGGGACAGCUGCUCUCAGAGGGCCCUUUGCUGAGCUCUGAGGAUCCAGCCAUGUUCUCUAGAAGGUUCCCUCACAGGAAGAGGGACACAAGCACAGCUGCGAAGCCUGGCAUGGCCAGUGCUUUGUGAAGGGACGCCAGGCUCAGGGCUGAGCAGGAGCUCAGGUGGAGAUGAAGGAACAGCCGGACACCCCAGGUAGCCCAGUGGAAGGGAGGGGCUGAGUAGCCUGCGCCAAGGCAGGCACAGCGGACUCACUGCGUC
ensembl:lncRNA